CAAUAGAGAGAGAGAAGACUUUCAUCUGCCUUCUUGGUGAGAUCAUGAGAUGGAUUUAGAGAAAACCAGUGAUAAACAUGAUUCUCCAGGCAGUCCAGGAGCUGCCAUUUCUACAGUAUGAACAAGAAAUGAAACCACAGAGGGAAGCAGAUUAAGGUAAGGAGCAAAGAUCAGAACCUCAGCACGGUCAUCUGAGAUGCUGAGUCCAGCCAUGCUUCCAGCUCCAUUUACCACUGAGAUCCAACUUCCUACUCACCAACAUCCAUCUGUUUUGUUGUUUUAUUUAUUGGAUGUAUACCUCCAUGUAUCUCAAACCUGCCUUGAGCUUGCUAUGUUGGUGACAAUGCCAUGGAACUUCUGAUCCUCCUCCUGUCUUCUAAGUGCAACAAUUACAGACACACUUCACCA